AAUCCUCUGUGGAUGCUUCAGCCACACUUAUCCAUACAGAAGAGAUUGGCAUGGCCCUUGCACAAGGGUGACAAGCAAAUCUGUGAAGGGUUCUGAAAACAA
rnacentral:snRNA from 1 species